rnacentral:lncRNA from 1 species
AUACAAGUGCAUCAGACUUAUAAUACUCCUUGGGGUUUUUUUUUGUUUUAUUUUGUUUUUUUACUAAUGAUGUUUCAACUAAUAUUUUAGUAUAUUAAGCUUUGAUUUUAUGCUUAUUUCUUUUUGAAUUCUUAGAAAGACUGUCAAUUUAUUUAUUUAGACCUCUUACGUAUUGCCAAUUGUGUUUAAACAGAUGGUCCUAAACCUUAUGUAUUGUUAUUUCUGGGCACCCCAGUACAUCUUCCGUUACACCUUUCUUGCUGGGGUACUUCUCAGAUUUGGCUUCCUACUAGAACCAACACAGAGCACUAAAUAUAUCUAUAGUUGACCUUUGUCCUAAACCAAUGAAGCUGGAAUUUCUGAGAAAAGUAGGGGAACUAAGGAGUUAGUAACUUUGAAAGAACUCAAAUGAGAUUAGCUGGGUAAAAUGGCAAUAUUAACCAAGCCUGGUAGCGCACGCCUGAAAUCCCAACACUCUGGAGACAGAGCCAUGAAGACAGUAAGUCAGAGGUCAGUCUAGUCUAUGCUGAAUGUUUCAGACCUGAAAGAGCUUCAAAGUGAAACACCAUCUCAUAAAUAAGUGAAUAAAUACGUAAAUUUAUAAAUUUCCAAUUAGUUCUAUUUUAAGUUUUUCUCUUUUCUUCUCUUUUCUCUCUCUCUCUCUCUCUCUCUCUCUCUCUCUUUCUCUCUCUCUUUUUCUCUCUCUCUCCCUUCCUUCCUUCCUUCCUUCCUUUGUUCCUCUCUCUUUCUCUCCCUCCCUCCCUCCCUCCCUCCCUCCCUCCCUCCCUCCCUCCCUCCCUCCCUCUCUCUCUCUUUCUUUCUUUCUUUCUUUCUUUCUUUCUUUCUUUCUUUCUUUCUUCCAUUCUUUCUUCCCUUCUUUCUUUCUUUGACUCUCCCCAUUUAUUUCAGUGGUAACUGCCCAUCUCAUCCUGGACAUCAUUUGUGGUUGUUUGUUUUUCCAAUGACUGCUAUUCUGACUGGGGUGAGAUGGAAUAUCAAUGAGAUUUUAAUUUGCAUUUCCCUGGUGGCUAAGUAGAACCACUUUGUUAAUUGAAUAAAUAAAAAUGCUCUCUUCUAAAGCCCUUAUGGUCACAAGGCGAAUUAGAAUUUAAGUAGUGUAUGUUCGUUAUUUUAUUAGUUUGAAAAGCAUACUAUGAAGCUAGAAUCUUGGCCAAGACAUUUUGGCAUUUCUCUUUCAUAUACAGUUGUACCUUGGCUGUUAUGGAGGAUUGAUUCUGGGACACAUCUUGGAAACUAGGGUCUUUUGCUCAAGCCCCUUAAAUAUUGUGGUGGUCUAUAAUAUACAUCAUCUGUAUAUUACAUAUAAUACCUAAUACUAUUCAAGUCCUGUGUAAAGACUUGUUACACCAUAUUAGUUAGGGAAUAAUGACUCCUCCAGUCUGCAUGUACUUGUAAAGAAAUUUUUUCUUGAAUAGUUUCAUCUAAAGUUAAUUGAAUUCCGCACUUGCCUGUAGAACCCUUAGAUACAGAGAAAAUUAGGGCAUCCUGCAUCUAAACAGCAUCCCUUAGCAUCUCACCAAUUGAAACCUAGACAAGGCUUAGAGGAGCUCUCGCUGGUUCAUUUCUAAGCUUUCUGUUUGAAAUUCCUCAGAAUGGUAAAUUUUAUACUGUCUUGUCUCUUUAAUCAUUGUUCAAUUUGACUGGCUGUCAAACAUUUCAUCCAUCCAUUUUUAACACUGGAAUGUGUAUUGUCAAAUGCAAGGGUUUCUUCAAUAUAAUCAUAUGGUAUCAUUUCCCAUGUAUCUUAGAUGCCAUUUAAUAGAUAAAUAAUCAUCAAAAAGGCUAAAUAUAGCAUGCAAGUUGAACCUGCCAGUUCUGAUUAGAUUCAUGGAGGUGCCUAACGUUUCUGGGUCAUGCUUCUGAUGGAGUCAGUCCAUGGAAGCCCAGUUAAUGUAGCCUGUUAGUGUAAGCUGAUAUAUAAUACUGUUAGAUGAUAUUUGAGCACAAUAUGAACCCUGAGACUGUGUUAGUUACUGAAACAAACAAACAAACAAACAAAAAAACCAAAAACCCUGUUUCUAGUUGUGGUGUGUCUCAGCCCUUUAGCACACACCUUGAAUCUCUCUGGCUCGAAUAUAGACACACCCUUAGUACACACCUUCAAUUCCAAACACUGAAGGUAAAGUUAGUUUGCAGAAAGAAGCACCUAUGUUUGAAAGUGAUGUCUAAUUGAGUGGCAGACAAAGUGACAAAUCAGAGAAAGAUUUGACAGAAUAGAAUAUGCCCAACUCUCAUGAGAAGAGAGAGAGGAAAGGGAAACUAUUUAAGGGGUAGUGCAGAGAGAGGAAAGAGAGGAGGCAGUUUAGAGAGACAGGUUGCAGAGAGAGAAUGAACUAAACACAGGACUAGGCCUAGGUUAGCAGACUGAGUCUGUAAGCCUCGAAGAUGGAGACAAAAACUAUCAUAGGUGAGUUAAAGUUACAUUCACAAUACUCUGUUCUCCCUCACAUCAUGGUAUAAGUAUUUUACCACUGAGCUCAUUGCCUGUCCUUGUGUUUUGGUUGUUUUCUUAUUUUGGUACCAGAGAUACAAUCAUAAAUAAGACAGAUCAAAGUUCUUCCUCUUAAGGGAUUUACAUCUUAAAUGGGCAGGCAAGAAGAGAACAAUGAAGUUAGCCACAUUCCUGGAGUUGGGCAUAGCGGUACAGACCUGAAAUCAGAGGAAUGAGGAGGCAGAGGCAGGAAGAUACUGAGUGUGGAGCUCACAUUGAACUGCAUAGAAGACCUUCCCCUCCCUGACACCCCAGCAAGCAGCAAAGCAACUAUCAUUACUGUAGCCAGGAUGGUUAGAAUGGGAAAAGUACUGCAUAGAUGCAAGCUGAAUGAAUGAAUGAAUGAAUGAAUGAAUGAAUGCACUUGGCCUGGUGAAAAGCUCCAAAGCAGCAGCAGGGACAGAAGUUGGUGCUGACUUGGAUUGACAGAGGAAAAGAAGCAGCUCCCUGCAUCUCUGGGAAAUGACGUCAUUUCUUAGGGAACCCACCCUUUCCCUAAGAAGGGAAAGUCAGAGGAGGGGCACUGUGGACAGAUGAUGAAUUCUUCUUUAAGGUAAUCUGUGGAACAUCCAAGUAAGGAUUCCAAGAAGCAGGUAGAUGGGUCAAAGCAGUCUGGGCUACCGUUGUAGACUUUAGUCUAUAAGCCAUUAGAAUGAAUGAGAUCACUAGGAAUUAGAACGAGAAAAGAAGUCCAAACAUUUGAGUACCUACCUAGUGUUACCAUAGGAAAGAUGAUUAGUAAUGCAUCUUAUAUCAACAAGAAUAGACAUAGGGUUCUAAGUCCGUCUCACCCUGAACCCACACUUUCUGUAGUAAUCACAUUCUUUUCUUAAAUUAUGCAACUUUUCAAGUCAUUGCUAGGGUUGGGGAUGGGCUGAGAAAGAUGAGUGGAAAAGGCAAGGCUUGGAAACAAGAAACACUGAAGAAACCUGGAAAAAUGAGUCAUGAAUCCAGGACUAGGCUAGGGGCUAGGGGCUAGAGAAGAAAGCCACAGCCUAAUUUGCAAAAUUCAGGCUUAACUUUACAUUAAAAUACAAAUUGACACCCUCUACUUCCUGACAGUAUUAGGACACACAACAAAGGUACAAAGACUUCAUUGAGAAUUUGAAAAGGACCUAAACAGCUACCAAUAAGAUAAUAAAUUCACGGUUGUCUCGUUAAAGAGUGUAAUUAUAACUCAUUAGAAUGAAUUGGAACAUCCUAUGUAACACAUCUUAAAACUGCAACCAUGUAAAUGUAACAUGCUAUCCCAGGUUAGAUAUUUAUUUAUUUAUUUAUUUAUUUAUUUAUUUAUUUAUUUAUUUAUUUAUUUUGAGGUUAUGUUUGGUUAUUGGUUUUGAAGCCCUGGGGAUUGAACCCUAAGCCUUGGGCGUAGUGGACAAGCAUCCCACCAAUGUCUCUUUAACACCUUUGCAACUGUUCUGCGAAUCUAAAAAUAUUCCCAGUUGGGGGGGGGGGGCAGAUGCGAGAUAGAAAGGCUUAAAAUACAGAGUACCCGUGUAUGAAAUUCUCAAAUAGAAAACAUAGUUAUCCCGAAAUAAAAGAAUUAUUUAAAAAAAAAAAAAAACCUAAGCUCAGAGCUGCAGGUAUAGCUCCGUGGUGAAUUUGCACGUAAAUAUACUCCCUGGAUUUGCUUCUCAGCCCCUUGGAGGGGUUGUGAAGGGAGGGGGACCUUGUAAGCAAUGUGAGCUCAAGGCAAGCCAAAUAAACUGUAAAGGAACUGAUGCCACAUGAUAGCAUUGAUGAGAACCUUAAAGCACUCAAAGCAAUAUGAAAUGUUGAUGCAUAGCAUGUAUUUAAUUAAGGUGUAACAACAUUCAAAAGAAUGAUGUUUUAUUUAAAGUAGAAAGUGAAAAAGAAUAUACAUUCAAUUAAAUUGAAUAUAUCAAACUUAUUUUUCUUUUUUCUUGGAUGUUUUCUUUAUUUACAUUUCAAAUGUUAUCCCCUUUCCCAAUUUUCCACCCCCUCCCAGAAACCCCCUAUCCCAUUCCCCCCCCCCCUGCUUCUAUGAGGGUGUUCACCCACCCACCUACUCCUGCCUCCCUGCCCUCAAUUCCCCUAGCCAUCUAUCGAGCCUUCAUAUGACCAAGGACCUCUCCUCCCAUUGAUGCCUGACAAGGCCGUCCUCUGCUACAUAUACAGCUGGAGCCAUGUAUACUCCUAGGUAUGUGGAUGUGCAUACAAGUUUCCUCUGCGUCCAGAAGAGUUGGAGUUACAGGGAGCUGUAGGUGCCCAAUAUGAGUUCUGUGAACUGAACUUGGUUCCUCGGAGAAGACAUCCUGUGAUUUUUAACUAGUCACCAUCAAAGCCCUCCAGCAUCCUGCAACAUUGAAAAUUAAAGUGUCUACAGUUUGGGUGAUCUGUCCCUCUGGUCGCUGUUCUCCAUGAUCGUUGCCAACUGUUGACUGUGUUGUAGAACAACUCACCCCAGUGCUUAGUGGCUUAAAAUCAAAGCCAUUUAUUAUAAUUUUUUUCAAGUUGACAGUUCCUUGGGUGAUUCUGCAGAUGUGUUGGCCAUGAUUAAUGUCUGCUAGGCUUAUCCAGCUGGUAAGUAGGCUGAGGUGGGGGGGUAGGGUGAGUCUGGCCUUUUCACAGCUGAGAUGACUGUCCUGUAACUCAUGGGCCUCACAGAUUCUUCCUCUAGAAGGCUGCCAGAACAGGCUCGUGUAUCAGAUUUAAGUCUCUGGCAUCUUUGAUAUAUAAUCUAGUGGCCAGAAGAAGUGACUUAGGUGAGCUGAGAGUAAGAGUGGGAGACAUCCCAAGUCAUGGGACAGAGUGGGAAGUGAUGAGUGACAUUAAUGAAGGCACCUCAGCAUCUAGCACAGUUACUAACAAUAAUCUGAGAAAUGGUUCCCAAAUGGCUUCAUCAGAAUGAAAGCACGGGUGGUACCAGUGCAACUCCCAAGAUUCCCAUCUCCAACAGGGAACCACAAAGAGGUUGUUACCGAUUAUAUCUGUUCCCUUUCUGUUACUGUGGUAAAAAAAAAAAUACCAUGAUCAAGGAAAAUUAUAGAUGGAAGAGUUUAUUUGGGUUUACAGUUCCAGAGGGGUUAGAGUCCAUCCUGGAGGGAGGUGUGGCAGCAAGGGACAGGAAGCUGAGAGAUCUUCCACUUCAGGUUCGAAGCAGAGUGAAUUGGAAGUAAGAUUAGACUUCAUUCUCAAUUCCCGUCCCCCCUCAUCCCCAGUGAUAUAUUUCCACCAGCGAGGCCCUAACUCCUAAACAUCCCAAACAGUGUACCAGCUGGAGACAACCUGUUCAAAUACCUGAGCCUAUGAAGGAAUUUUUUAUUGAAGCCAACAAAUGCUACCACCAGACCUCUAUAGGCUCAAACCAUGUCAUAACACAAAAUGCAUUUAGUCUAACUCCAAAAGCCACAAUAGUGUUUGUGAGUUUCAAUACUGUUUAAAUGUCCAAAGUCAUGUCUGAGACUCAAGGCAAUGUCUUAGUUGUAUCCUGUUGUAAAAAGAAAAAAAAAUCAAUUCUCAUACCUCUGAUAUAUAAUGACAUGGAAUACACUAUUAUUCUAAGAAGGAGGAAUUGGGACAUAGUGAGGAAAUGCUAGACCAAAGUAAAACCCAAACCCAGCAGGGCUAACACCAAACCCUGUAACUCCUUGUCUAAUGUUAGGAACUUAGGUGGUUCUAUCUCCCCAGCUUUGCUGACUAUGACACACUUCUCACUCUUGGGGGCAAUUCUACUUCCUGUCUGCAGAUCCCCUGGACAGAUUUCUCCUGGCUCUGGCAUCUUCAACAUCUCGAGGUUCAUACGCUUCCCUUUCACAUCAUGGCCUCUCCUGCUCCCUUUCACAAGUUGGAAGCUUAGCUGUGUGGGGUCUUGCCCUGAGGGUACCCUUCUCUUUGUUCCUGUGCGGAACAGAUCCUACAUAUCAGCCUAUGUCUUCCAGACUCCUCUUAGAACCGUCCUUUAAGAGACAUUUACAGCAUUCAACUGCUUCUUUAGUUCAAAGUCCUCCACUUUCUUCCAGACAGCAAUACAGUUAGGUUCUUCACAGCAACAGCCAGUUCUCUGUAUCAACUCUGUAUUAGGUCUUUUCCAUUACUUUGAUAAGGCAUCAUAACCAGGGCAACUUAUAGAAAGGGGGAUUUAUUUAGACCUUCAGUUCUAAGGCAAUAGGAGUCUAUCACGGUAGCUGGAGCACAACGCUGAGCGUGAUCACAUCUUCAACUGAACAUCAGGCAAAGAGACAGAGAACUGGAAGCAGAGUAAAGCUAUAAAUUCUCAAAGCUCUUCCCCAGUGAUAGAAUUUCUCCAGUAAGGCCACACCAC